CGGGGGGGGCAAGCGUUGUUCGGAAUUACUGGGCGUAAGGGCUCGUAGGCGGCCAACUAAGUCGGACGUGAAAUCCCCAGGCUCAACCUGGGAACUGCGUCUGAUACUGGAUGGCUUGAAUCCGGGAGAGGGAUGCAGAAUUCCAGGUGUAGCGGUGAAAUGCGUAGAUAUCUGGAGGAAUACCGGUGGCGAAGGCGGCAUCCUGGACCGGCAUUGACGCUGAGGAGCGAAACGCUAGGGGAGCAAACGGGAUUAGAUACCCCGGUAGUCCUAGCCCUAAACGAUGAAUGCUUGGUGUAACGGGUAUCGAUCCCUGUUGUGCCGAAGCUAACGCAUUAAGCAUUCCGCCUGGGGAGUACGGUCGCAAGGCUG
rnacentral:rRNA from 1 species